rnacentral:snoRNA from 12 species
GGCCCGUGAUGACUGGUAAAAGGUCUGACCACCCAGAUCCCCCGGCACCCUGCCGGUCCCCAGCUGCCCCUCUCCCGUCAGGCUCCAGUCGUGCCGUGAUGGCCACAGGGCAGCUGACACCCGGUGGUGCCCCGUCCUGUGUCCCUGGCGAGCUUGGGGAGACGCCGUGGUUGGCACCCAACAGCACAGUGACAAAGGAAUUUGGACCCUGGGAGUGCCGGGGCCUGAGGUGAUGAUCUGACGUUUCCAAGCUGAGGCC